rnacentral:rRNA from 1 species
GACGAACCGAGCGAACGUUGUUCGGAAUCACUGGGCUUAAAGGGCGCGUAGGCGGGCGGUUAAGUCUGCGGUGAAAUCCUCCAGCUCAACUGGAGAACUGCCGUGGAUACUGGCUGUCUCGAGGAAGGUAGGGGCGUGUGGAACUAUCGGUGGAGCGGUGAAAUGCGUUGAUAUCGAUAGGAACUCCGGUGGCGAGGGCGACACGCUGGACCUUUUCUGACGCUGAGGCGCGAAAGCCAGGGGAGCAAACGGG